rnacentral:rRNA from 1 species
AUUGAACGCUGGCGGCAGGCUUAACACAUGCAAGUCGAGCGGGGUGAUGGUGCUUGCACUAUCACUUAGCGGCGGACGGGUGAGUAAUGCUUAGGAAUCUGCCUAUUAGUGGGGGACAACAUCUCGAAAGGGAUGCUAAUACCGCAUACGUCCUACGGGAGAAAGCAGGGGAUCACUUGUGACCUUGCGCUAAUAGAUGAGCCUAAGUCGGAUUAGCUAGUUGGUGGGGUAAAGGCCUACCAAGGCGACGAUCUGUAGCGGGUCUGAGAGGAUGAUCCGCCACACUGGGACUGAGACACGCCCCAGAUUCCUACGGGAGGCAGCAGUGGGGAAUAUUGGACAAUGGGGGGAACCCUGAUCCAGCCAUGCCGCGUGUGUGAAGAAGGCCUUAUGGUUGUAAAGCACUUUAAGCGAGGAGGAGGCUCUUUUGGUUAAUACCCAAGAUGAGUGGACGUUACUCGCAGAAUAAGCACUGGCUAACUCUGUGCCAGCAGCCGCAGUAA